CCACUCUCUAGUGCUAUUGAUUUCAAGACACCGAAGUUUUUCUGUGGAACUCAAGGAGUCUUUUUGUUGUUGUUGUUCAUUCGAAUUAAAAGUGCAUUUGGCAGAUACAAAGAGGACAUCUGGCUUUCCCUGGGAGGGGAGUAGCCCAUCCUGCUUGCUACAGUGGUGAAGAUAUGAUAACAUGACACAAAAGAAUUAAGGUCCCAAGUGAGGCCAUGGAAGCAUGCUGCAGUCUUCCUGGAGGAGUAGGAGUCACAGGAAGUCUGUAGCACUACUCCUAGUGCACACAAAUUCCUUGCUGCCAUAGUUUGGAAGCAGCAGGAAGUGACUAACACCUUCCAAUUCACACUCAAAGCUUUCCAGAGGAAAAGGAAAUGGUUGGUUCUCCGGACUGCACUGCUCUUGCAUUGCGGUUCCUCUUUGUACAUCAAAGAGCCACACACAUUAACCUGCCCCGCAUUGCCCCUUGGCUGCUCCACCUUGCUGCUGGCUUCAGCAACACAUCAUUUGCAUGGAAAAUGAUGCAAAGCAGUUGUUGAUUUUUUGCUUUAAUUAAUUGCAGAGCUGGGUACUGCUCUAUGUAAACAAGC
rnacentral:lncRNA from 1 species